UAUGGCAAAAAGGAACCAAGUAACAAUAAAAUUGAAUAAACAAAAAAUUGUAUCCCGAUUUCUGUAGUUUGUAAUACAGUUUGUGGAUUUAUUAUAAGAAAGAAUGAUUCAAUGAUAAGGUUCCUUUUUGGUGA
rnacentral:pre_miRNA from 1 species